rnacentral:rRNA from 1 species
UCCUCCCUCUGUCGGCGUGCUUAACACAUGCAAGUCGAACGGAAAGGCCCUGCUUUUGUGGGGUGCUCGAGUGGCGAACGGGUGAGUAACACGUGAGUAACCUGCCCUUGACUUUGGGAUAACUUCAGGAAACUGGGGCUAAUACCGGAUAGGAGCUCCUGCUGCAUGGUGGGGGUUGGAAAGUUUCGGCGGUUGGGGAUGGACUCGCGGCUUAUCAGCUUGUUGGUGGGGUAGUGGCUUACCAAGGCUUUGACGGGUAGCCGGCCUGAGAGGGUGACCGGCCACAUUGGGACUGAGAUACGGCCCAGACUCCUACGGGAGGCAGCAGUGGGGAAUAUUGCACAAUGGGCGGAAGCCUGAUGCAGCAACGCCGCGUGCGGGAUGACGGCCUUCGGGUUGUAAACCGCUUUCGCCUGUGACGAAGCGUGAGUGACGGUAAUGGGUAAAGAAGCACCGGCUAACUACGUG